UAGUGAUUAACGCGAAGAACCUUACCUGGGCUAGAAUGCCUCUGACAACCCUAGAGAUAGGGCCUUCUGGGUAAAACCAGACAGAGUGCAAGGUGCUGCAUGGCUGUCGUCAGCUCGUGUCGUGAGAUGUUGGGUUAAGUCCCGCAACGAGCGCAACCCUUAUCUUUAGUUGCCAGCAUUUAGUUGGGCAUUCUAGAGAGACUGCCGUUGACAAAACGGAGGAAGGUGGGGAUGACGUCAAGUCCUCAUGGCCUUUAUGUCCAGGGCUACACACGUGCUACAAUGGCCGGUACAAACCGCCGCAAACUCGCAAGAGGGAGCCAAUCGGAAAAAGCCGGUCUCAGUUCGGAUUGGGGUCUGCAACCCGACCCCAUGAAGUCGGAGUCGCUAGUAAUCGCAGAUCAACAACGCUGCGGUGAAUACGUUCCCGGGCCUUGUCACACCGAAUCGAA
rnacentral:rRNA from 1 species